UACGUAGGGUGCAAGCGUUAAUCGGAAUUACUGGGCGUAAAGCGUGCGCAGGCGGUUUGUUAAGUCUGCUGUGAAAUCCCCGAGCUCAACUUGGGAAUUGCAGUGGAUACUGGCAAGCUGGAGUACGGUAGAGGAAGGUGGAAUUCCCGGUGUAGCAGUGAAAUGCGUAGAGAUCAGGAGGAACACCGGUGGCGAAAGCGCUCAUCUGGCCCGAUACUGACGCUGAGGCGCGAAAGCUAGGGGAGCAAACGGG
rnacentral:rRNA from 1 species